AGGAUUACAAAUACUCUACAUAUACCUAAGUUCCCUACACAUUUUAGAGACUUUUCCUAUGAUUAAAAUUUUUAGUUAAUAAAAUAAAGGAGUGGUUUCUCUCAUCUCUUGAGAAUUUGUUUCUCUAUCUUUCAGAAUUUGUGUCUAAGCCCUUUAUUCCCCAUUUGUUCUAUUGGUUUCUAUAUCACAAGCAUUACAAAAAGCCACAGAAAAUGUCACCCAAAAAAUUUCUUCACUGGAUUCUCCCAUUAAUAACUUCAGUUUGUAUUUUUCUACUUAAAAAACAAUAAAAUGCUCUUGCAAAUUCUUUUCAACUGAAAGGUCUGCACAUCAGGAACAAUACUACAGCCUAAGAAUCAUCCUAUGGAAUUUUUUUUUUUUGGGGGCCAAAGAUAACUCAUUUGCCUCACCCAGGCAGAAAUAAGGAAACAAGAAGCACCUGCUCCAUGAAGUUACAAGAAAAGGACAGAUGAUGCAGAGAAUUCGUGGCUAAACUGUGAGCAGCCAUAUUCCCACGCCGCCUUACAAAAUAAAACUUACAAUUAUUAAAAUUAGCAGUUAAAGAAACAACAUCUUUCACAAUGACUUUGAUGUGAAUUGAAGGAAUGGGGGAUCCCAACAGAGCUUGGAUAAUCUCAAGAGAGUCACCCUCUAUAACAACCUUAGAGAAUCCCUUGCUCACAGCUAGUAUGAGUGGAUCUGAGAUAUGGUUGUGACCAACCUAGAGAAAAACCUUUAUUGUCUCUUGCGAUCACUGCUACAGCUCCUCUGUUGUAUUGCUUAGAAACUGCUGCAUCAAAGUUGAUUUUGAUAAAACCAUCAGGGAGGGAGGAGACCAUGAUGAAUUGUGGUGAGGGGAAGUUGGCAGAAUCUGAGCCUGGCAUAUUUGCUUCCAUGUAUUCCGAAAAAAUGGGUGUUCACUAGAUUAAUAAUCUCUCGGGAGCAGAUUGAAUUAUUGCAAAAACAAGCACUAUGCCGGUUAUUCCUUAACUGCCAGAGAAGGAAGGCUGCCAUCAGUAUCAAUUCCUUCCCUUACGGAUGAGGGCUCAGAAAAUCAAUGAUUUCAGACUGUUAUGGAAAGUCAAUCAUUAU
rnacentral:misc_RNA from 1 species